CCAUGACCUGAUGCUCACGCUCCGUCACUGCCAUGAUGUUGAUUAAAACUGGAGCUCUGGAAAAACAAAACGACUUGGCAUAAACCAGACUUGGCCUUCGAAGACUUACCCCUGGGGAUGUUUAUGUUCUAAAGUAGAUUAUUUAUUAAUGAUCCCACAUGAACUCAGACUGUACGAUCAUUACCGAUUAGCCACGUUUCUUGUUUGUUUUCUUAAGGGAAAGAACUUUGCUUUGAGCUCUGUUCUGCAAAAUUCACAGAAACCAAUUUUAAAUCUUCAGGAUAUCAUGUGUUCUAAAUUAUCUUCUUUACCUUUACUGAGAACUGCGUCUACAGAGAAGCAUGAAAUCAAGAGAGGCAGAGAUGAGAUAAAUGUGAAAGCAUCCAACUCAGACAUGGCACAGAGCAGCUUUUGCCAACAUUUUAUUCCAGAAGGGAAAGCUUUGCCAAUGUAAUGCAACCACGGAAAUGAUAAAAAUAUAUAAAGAAAAAAAAAAGACUUUCUUCCUAACCUCUUUGCUUUCUGACACUUGCCUCGGUAUCCAAUGUUAACAACCAGAUGCCAGAGCAUAUGAGCAGGAUACAGUAAAGGGAGAGGGAGAAGCAGACUCCCCCUAAAUGGAGAGCCUGAUGGGCUCAAUCCUAGGACCCCGAGGUCAUGAUCUGAGCCAAAGGCAGACGCUUCACCAACCAAGCCACCCAGGACUGAAAAAAGAAUCAAAGGCAUUGAAUACAUGGGCAUGAGUCAUUGAACAAAUAUUUAGUGAGAUCUAGGUGUCUUGAUUUACACAGUGAAGAAACUAAACAGCAUGCCUUUCAUUAUCAGCUCUUGAAGAUUCUGAUAAUCAUGACUCUCCUUAUGCAACUGGGGACUGCUUAGCCAAGACCCUGCUCCUGGAGAGUGAGCAAAUAAACACGUUUAUAAGAAACAGAUGGUAGUACGGAGACUUUUCAUUGUAACAAAUAGUGUGUCAAGAUGAUGACUUUCUUCUCAAAGAAUCGCAAAGAACUGGGAUUUCCUUUGGUGUGAGAGUUACUGACCGGAUGCACACUGUGUGCCCAAACACUGCUCUAGAUGCUGAGGAUAAAAGAAUAAAAUCAAACAAAAGCCCCUCUUCACGAAGCUCACAUUCCAGUGUAGCAACAUGAACAUCAAAGAAAUGAACAAAUCAAUGUAUAAUAAAAUGUCAGAAAGUGACCCUCAAAUUGGCGAGGAUUGCUUAUAUUAGAGAUGCCAGAAUAUGAUAGGAUUAUAACUUCUACCAUCAGAAGAGUGCUUUGAAGCAUGAAUUUUGCAUCAGAAAGACAUCAUCCAUGAAUGUGUAAGACAGCAUUCACAGCUCCCUUGGUCUUUCCAGCUUUGAGCUAGCUUCCCAACUUUUCCCACUAAAUCACUCACUACACAGGCCCCUUAUUUUACCUCAUCAUAAAGAUC